GGCCAAAACAUCUUUAUGCUAUGCAUGACCUUGCCUCCACCAGCAGAUAGAUCCAAAUCAAAAUCAGAGCCCGAUAGACUACUAUCAAAUAUGAUAUGCUUAAUAUUUGACUUUCUGGAUGUACUGAGAAGUGAGUGAAAGUGGAAAUUAGCCAGGUCGUGUCUGAGAGUAGCCCAGGAUGCUGACAUUAACAUAAAAGAGCUUAGCCGGCAUUUACUGACACCCACCACUGGGAGAAAUUAACCUCAGGACUUAAAGGUCAAGUGUGCUAGUGAUAAAGCAGCAAAUGGAGUAUAGCUUUCGACACUGGGUUUAUCUGGAGAAUGAUAAUCCUGCAAACUUGAGACUGAAACUUACAACAUGGGAGCCGACACCAUCUGUAGAUUAAAAGCAUCAUGUCUUUUGCAAGACAGUAUCAUCCACAGCUAUGCUUUUAGAGUUCGCUUUAUAGCUUCUGCUACUGCUGGGAGAUGCUUUUGGAUACACACAGGAUAUAUAACAUCCAUGUUCCCUUCUACACCCAGGCAUUUAGAUCCUGCACUACAGAUCCCACGAAGGAACAGUGUCUGGGGUGCAGAUGGUGCUGCUCAUACACAGACAGAAUUGGGCCAACAAAACACUUAUACCAAACUGCGUAUUGAGCAAAGGACUUCCAGGGAUAGAUACAAAAUUCACUAACACACAGACUGAAGAUUUCGCAUCACUUUGGGUGUCAUUAAUCUGAAAUGAAUGGCCAAUGUCACCGUGGAGAACGCAGAGAGUGCGUUGGGGGACGUGCGUGGUUGCAGGAUGUUGCAGAUUGGUUUGAAAAACUAAGUUCUUGCUACAAGGAUACUGACUGCCCUUGUGUUUGAAGCAAUGAAUUGCUAAGCUGGACUGUGGGACCAGGAAGUGGAACAAAACCUGGCAAGUGAAGGCUCAUCCGCUUGAGCUUUAGUUAACUGAAGUCUUAGAUUACCUGUCCCUAUGGUGCAGAUGUAAACAUUUCCCCUCUGCUUUCUUCUCUCCUAACUAUAAACAAUGGCCAACUUCUCUCUAUGUCUUUGGCUUGGACUGGGCAGUGGGAGUUAAUGGUACAAUUAUUUAGAAGUAAACAGGUUCUGUUUUGAAAUACUUAUGGUCUAUUCUCCAGCUGAAACUCUCCCGACCCCAAGAGUCGGGAACUCUUGGGGCUCCUCCAGUGCCAGUGUAAACAGCAUGGUUAGGAAGAGGAAUCUCCCUUUAUGCAUUUUCAGGGCCUCUGUGUUGCCAGAUCAUGUUUCAGCUCCCCAAAGAGAAAUCUCAGUGAAACAGUGUACUGAAAGCUUCAGAUAUAGUUAUUUUUUUCUGUUAUGUUUUAAUUAGUGCUCCUAAGCUUGAACUGUACUGCUGACUUACUUCCACCCUUAUCAUAGCUCCCAAGACUUUGGUUUAAGAUACAAAACAAAGAGUUUUUCUGCACCCAUGUUGCCAACUAAACUCAGUAUCUACUGGAUGUAUACAUUUUUUGUCUGUCAGUU
ensembl:lincRNA